rnacentral:tRNA from 2 species
GGGCCCGUAGCUCAGCUAGGUAGAGCAAUCGGCUCUUAACCGAUGGGUCGAGGGUUCGAAUCCCUCCGGGCCCG